CAGGCUGCAACUCGCCUGCAUGAAGUCGGAAUUGCUAGUAAUCGCGGAUCAGCAUGCCGCGGUGAAUACGUUCCCGGGCCUUGUACACACCGCCCGUCACACCAUGGGAGUCGGUAACACCGAAGCCGAUAGUCUAACGAAAGAGGACGUCGUCGAAGGUGGGAUUGAUGACUGGGGUGAAGUCGUAACAAGGUAAC
rnacentral:rRNA from 1 species